AUGGAUCUGCCGCAGAGAGCCAUGUUGGGUGGCGCUGUCUUGCCGCCCGACUGCCUGCUGGACCGCCGCGUCCGCACGGACUUUGACGACGAUGAUGAGAAUGAUCUGAUCGGCCUGCAGCCAUUCAAGAUACUCAGGUGCGUGGAGAAGACGGCGGUGGGGUUCACUCCUGAGAUGCAGGGCUAUGCCACUGAGGUAGUUGAGAGCUUACACCUUGGUCUGCAUCUCGCCAGCGGACCGCCAGGCCUAUCUUGUCUCGGCCUCCGAGGCGGCAGCCCAUUGACCAAGGUCGAAGCCGUUGAUCAAGGCAUCAUCGUCCUCACGACCACAUUUCUGCAUGACUUUAGCCGCAUUGUAUAUCUGGUUUAUGAUGCCGACAACGGAUCACUGCACAUGGCCCCUGCGCCGGAAGACCCCUCAUGGCUAUUCACGGGUCUCACUGUUCGCCUUCUCAUCGUGCGCCCCAAUUAUGGUGACUACACGCUGGCCCUAUUGGGGAAGCUGGAUGGAGAGGGGGAUGCACUCUUGGUUUGGCAACCCAGCUCCUCGUCCGUGCCACCGUGGUCCAAGAUCAAGGCAGUUGGCGUUGAAUCACUCAUCGGCAAGAGCUCGUUGCAAGUUGACUGCACCUUUUCAGCCAGUGGCAUGAGCUGCUGGGCGGAUCUUCUGAGGGGCGUCACCUUCUGCAACCCCGGCCUCUUCAGUACAGGGCUCCACAAUAAAGAAUACAUUCUCAAGUUUGGCUUCUUUCCCCUGCCCCAAGAGUUGGUUGAAAAGUCCAAGGAUCAUCGACGUAGCAACAGCCGAGUGGCACGGCCAGAAGCCUACCGCACCAUGGGCACCACCCUCCAAACUUGGUGGCGUAAAUUCCCCCCGUUCUACAAUGUCAGGUUUGUCUCCAUCGAUGGCUUCCUUGAGCCCAUCGAUCUCAAGGACCGCGCCGUAACCGUGUGGUGGCUGUGCCAAAAAGGGCUCGAGUGGAAGCUGGAGUACAAGAUCAGCCUCGAGGCUCUGUGGGAAUUCAAUGGAUUUGGCGAUCUGCCAAGGAAUUUAACUCCAAUGUACCCCCUCCUCAGCCCAAAUGAUCAUGAGAUGGUUUAUUUUGCACUUGGUGAAUGGCGUGAAAACCAGAGCAACUGGUUGUUCAUCCCGACAUGUGCGCGAUAUUUACUUGCCAUCAACCCACAGCACAAGACCGUAGUUGCCUCUGUGUGUCUCGCUGACUAUUUUGGAAAUCCUAACAUCCCUCCUGACAUCAUCAGCUCUGAUUUCCAGCGGCACAUCCAUACCGUGAGUCUGGAUCUUCACAUAAUGUUGAUGGAAACGAUGAAGCAGAUGUCAUUGACAUCGUUGGACCCUGCUGAAUAUGAUGAAGAGGAGGCUAAGAAGCUGAUGAAGGAGGAGCCAUGGACCUGGCAAGAAAAACUGAAGGAACAAGAUAGGCCUCUUCCUCUUCCUCUUCCAGCUCGGUACUACAGGCAGCCUUCUUUGGCUCGACUCAUAGGCAAUGCAGAUACCAUUCUGAAGCUAUCAGAUUGA
rnacentral:rRNA from 1 species